AACGAGGCAAUAACGUAUUCUAGCUACUGAGAAAUCUUUUUCAACCACUAGAUGGUACUAUUGGCCCCUUGUGGAAUUUGCCAGUGCCGGUCCAGGGCUUGCUGGUCAGUAAUUCUACUGGGUUUUCCCAGAAUAAAGUGAGAUUUAUUCCCAGAAUAAAGUGAGAUUUGAUCAAUAAACUUACGAAAGAAGUAAAGUUGUUUGUUCUCUUUAAUCUUCAAAUAGUAUCCCUCUUUGUGGAGCAGGAGAAAAAAGAAAUCAUUCACUCCUAGUGUUGCAAUAAUUGAAAGCUGGAUGCUGGGGACAAAACCCAGACUCCUCUGGCGGUUGAGUGCCCUAGCUCCUAGGUACACAGGUGCUGGUUCAAUAAAAUCGACUGUGUAGCCAAUUGUGGUAAAUGUUGACCUGGGGCACCUGGGCCCGGAUUCAGGAGUAGGAAAUUCAGGAACGGGAAGCUGAUGUUGGAAAAGCUGAAGCUACAGUUCUGCUACAACUGGAAUUCCAUGAGAGUCCAUGAAAGUUGUCCUGGGAUUCUCACCCAACAGGUGUCUAAACUGGCCUCAGAGUCCCUGCUCCUCUCCAUAGAUGGCAUACCAAAUCCACGCCUCUGUCCCCAGCUCCCUCAAACCCCAGGCACCCACUCCCUCCUCUUCUCAACAAUUUCAAGUGGGCAACUCACCCAGCCUUUGGUCUGAAAUCACGCUCUGCAUCUAGGCUUUCCAAGCGCCCAGCUCCUCCUGCCUUUAGUAUUCCCAUCAGCAGACAGGCCUGCAUUCAGUCAGCGUUUAAUGAGAGGAU
rnacentral:lncRNA from 1 species